AGUCGUUGCCUUGUUCAAAACUGGGAUUGGGCUAGUACAUCAGCAGGUUAUGGACCAGUGAAACUUUUGUUCUUUUCCUUCAUAUAUAUCACCUUCAAGAGCUGUAUCAGGAUCAAAGCAUUGAUUAGGGGCCAUUCUUGCAUCUGCCCGCAUGCGGCUGACGACAACCGGAGAGAGAGACAAUGUGGUGGCACAUGCAAAACGCAAGCCGCGACCAUAAUUUGCUUUAAUUUGUCUGUUUAAAACCCAUUGCUGUGAACUUUCUUGCGUUUCCCAUGCGAGUUCAUGCUGGCUGUAGCUGGUCCCUCUGCAUUGUUUCUCCACGCGUCUGACGAAAAUGGAAUUCCAAAGAGAAUUGUUUUAGGAUGAUCGAGCAUCCAUUAGAGUUCCUGCAGUUCUCUUGCAAAAUUUUUGGCUGUAGUAACAAGAAUGAUCGACAUUUGUACUCUUUCAAGAUCAAACACUGCCGCAUUUUAGUGUAAAGCCUAAAAGGACAUGUGAUUGAGGUAGGCGAUCAUCUAGUCAUCUCUCGGUUCACAAGGCUGAGUUUAGAGGACCAUUUUUUUCCUUUUUAGAGAGAGAGGAGCGUGCGCCGCGAGCGAGCGAGAGAGCUGUCCAAACAGAUAAAGGCGGUGCUAUGGUGAUCCUGUUUGCCAAUAUAUGUAUCUAUUUGUGUACGAGGACUUCCAUCCAAAGUAUGGAUAAACUCCUGUGUUAGGCCGUAUGGCCAUUCA